rnacentral:rRNA from 1 species
AUGCUAAUACAUCCAAAGGCUUUAAGGACUUGAUAGAGAAGCUUGCCUUCCUCUGAUACGUUAGCGGCGGACGGGUGAGUAACACGUAGGCAACCUGCCCUCAAGUUUGGGACAACUACCGGAAACGGUAGCUAAUACCGAAUAAUUGUUUUCUUCGCCUGAAGGAAACUGGAAAGACGGAGCAAUCUGUCACUUGGGGAUGGGCCUGCGGCGCAUUAGCUAGUUGGUGAGGUAACGGCUCACCAAGGCGACGAUGCGUAGCCGACCUGAGAGGGUGAUCGGCCACACUGGGACUGAGACACGGCCCAGACUCCUACGGGAGGCAGCAGUAGGGAAUCUUCCGCAAUGGGCGAAAGCCUGACGGAGCAAUGCCGCGUGAGUGAUGAAGGUUUUCGGAUCGUAAAGCUCUGUUGCCAGGGAAGAACGCUUGGGAGAGUAACUGCUCUCAAGGUGACGGUACCUGAGAAGAAAGCCCCGGCUAACUACGUGCCAGCAGCCGCGGUAAUACGUAGGGGGCAAGCGUUGUCCGGAAUUAUUGGGCGUAAAGCGCGCGCAGGCGGUCAUUUCAAGUCUGGUGUUUAAUCCCGGGGCUCAAACCCCGGAUCGCACUGGAAACUGGGUGACUUGAGUGCAGAAGACGGAGAGUGGGAAUUCCACGUGUAGCGGUGAAAAUGCGUUGAUUGUUGGACGGGACCCCCUGGCGAAG